rnacentral:rRNA from 1 species
AUUGAACGCUGGCGGCAGGCUUAACACAUGCAAGUCGAGCGGGGGAAGGUAGCUUGCUACCGGACCUAGCGGCGGACGGGUGAGUAAUGCUUAGGAAUCUGCCUAUUAGUGGGGGACAACAUCUCGAAAGGGAUGCUAAUACCGCAUACGUCCUACGGGAGUAAGCGGGGGAUCUUCGGACCUUGCGCUAAUAGAUGAGCCUAAGUCGGAUUAGCUAGGUGGUGGGGUAAAGGCCUACCAAGGCGACGAUCUGUAGCGGGUCUGAGAGGAUGAUCCGCCACACUGGGACUGAGACACGGCCCAGACUCCUACGGGAGGCAGCAGUGGGGAAUAUUGGACAAUGGGGGGAACCCUGAUCCAGCCAUGCCGCGUGUGUGAAGAAGGCCUUAUGGUUGUAAAGCACUUUAAGCGAGGAGGAGGCUACUCUAGUUAAUACCUAGGGAUAGUGGACGUUACUCGCAGAAUAAGCACCGGCUAACUCUGUGCCAGCCGCCGCCGUAA